ACUCUGAUCCAGCCAUGCCGCGUGUAGGAGACUGCCCUAUGGGUUGUAAACUACUUUUAUAUGGGAAGAAUAAGGUCUACGUGUAGAUCGAUGACGGUACCAUAAGAAUAAGCACCGGCUAACUCCGUGCCAGCAGCCGCGGUAAUACGGAGGGUGCAAGCGUUAUCCGGAAUCAUUGGGUUUAAAGGGUCCGUAGGCGGGCAUAUAAGUCAGUGGUGAAAGUCUGUGGCUUAACCAUAGAAUUGCCAUUGAUACUGUAUGUCUUGAAUUAUUGUGAAGUGGUUAGAAUAUGUAGUGUAGCGGUGAAAUGCUUAGAGAUUACAUAGAAUACCGAUUGCGAAGGCAGAUCACUAACAAUAUAUUGACGCUGAUGGACGAAAGCGUAGGUAGCGAACAGGAUUAGAUACCCUGGUAGUCUACGCCGUAAACGAUGGAUACUAGUUGUUUGGUUUUCGGACUGAGUGACUAAGCGAAAGUGAUAAGUAUCCCACCUGGGGAGUACGUUCGCAAGAAUGAAACUCAAAUGAAUUGACGGA
rnacentral:rRNA from 1 species